rnacentral:lncRNA from 1 species
GACGAUACUCUGUCAUUCGUUGUGAAUCCGCUGAAUUGUUAAGUAUUGCACUUUAUUAAUCGUUGUGAGGGUUUAAUCUCGUGAAUUGUCGUAAAUGUUGUAUUAGUUAUUUACCUAGUUUCGUGUGCAUCAUUUCUUAAAUUAGGUAUUAGUCUUACCAGUAGACUAAUCUUUACCCCCACGCACUUACAAUCAAAGUAGAUGCUAAUUCUCAGAAGAAGCUGAAUCAUGAAGCUUGUUAAUUCAAUACUGCAUGCUUAUAAUGUCAUUACAGUAGAUUGGAGUAAGAAUUGGAUCCGGCACUGAAGGACUUCAAGAAGUGGCUUCUUUAUUUUAAUUAAAUCAACUUAAGAAAUAUUGUUUUUGGGUUUAUCCCGUAUUAAAAGCUACCUUUGUAAAACAUG